rnacentral:rRNA from 1 species
AACAUAGCCUUUAGCCAAACAAGUAUUAAAGGUCCCGCCUGCCCAGUGAUAAUUUUAACGGCCGCGGUAUUCUAACCGUGCAAAGGUAGCGUAAUCACUUGUCUUCUAAAUAAAGACUAGUAUGAAUGGCUAAAUGAGGACAAACCUGUCUCUUAUAAUUAAUCCGUGAAACUAAUCUUCCAGUACAAAAGCUGGAAUACUAACAUAAGACGAGAAGACCCUGUGGAGCUUUAAACCUACCACUAACCCCAAACCUAGUGUACGGUUUUAAGUUGGGGCGACUUUGGAAUAAAACAAAGCUUCCAAGAACAGAACCACUAAUUCCAAUUAAGGCUGACAAGCCGAAACGCAUGACCCAGUAAUACUGAUCAACGAACCAAGUUACCCCAGGGAUAACAGCGCUAUCUUCUUCAAGAGUCCCUAUCGACAAGAAGGUUUACGACCUCGAUGUUGGAUCAGGACACCCAAAUGGUGCAGCCGCUAUUAAAGGUUCGUUUGUUCAACGAUUAAUAGUCCUACGUGAUCUGAGUUCAGACCGGAGUAAUCC